rnacentral:rRNA from 1 species
UGAACGCUCGCGGCAGGCCUAACACAUGCAAGCCGAGGGGUAAGGUUCCGCUUGCGGAACACACGACCGGCGCACGGGUGAGUAACGCGUAUGCAACUUACCCUCUACUGGGGCAUAGCUCCGAGAAAUCGGAAUUAAUACCCCAUAAUAUCUUAAAUUCGCAUGUUUUUAAGAUUAAAGUUCUAACGGUAGAGGAUGGGCAUGCGUGACAUUAGUUAGUUGGUGAGGUAACGGCUCACCAAGACAACGAUGUCUAGGGGGUCUUAAAGGAUGAUCCCCCACACUGGUACUGAGACACGGACCAGACUCCUACGGGAGGCAGCAGUGAGGAAUAUUGGGCAAUGGAUGCAAGUCUGACCCAGCCAUGCCGCGUGCAGGAUGACUGCCCUAUGGGUUGUAAACUGCUUUUGUACGAGAAGAAACCUUCUAACGUGUUAGAAGCUGACGGUAUCGUACGAAUAAGGAUCGGCUAACUCC